rnacentral:rRNA from 1 species
CCUACGGGAGGCAGCAGUGGGGGAUAUUGCACAAUGGGGGGAACCCUGAUGCAGCGACGCCGCGUGGGUGAAGAAGCGCCUCGGCGCGUAAAGCUCUAUCAGCAGGGAAGAAAAUGACGGUACCUGACUAAGAAGCACCGGCUAACUACGUGCCAGCAGCCGCGGUAAUACGUAGGGGGCAAGCGUUAUCCGGAUUUACUGGGUGUAAAGGGAGCGUAGACGGUAAUGCAAGUCUGAAGUGAAAGCCCAAGGCUCAACCAUGGGACUGCUUUGGAAACUGUAAAACUGGAGUGCAGGAGAGGUAAGCGGAAUUCCUAGUGUAGCGGUAAAAUGCGUAGAGAUUAGGAGGAACACGAGUGGCGAAGGCGGCUUACUGGACUGUAACUGACGUUGAGGCUCGAAGGCGUGGGGAGCAAACAGGAUUAGAUACCCCUGUAGUC